rnacentral:rRNA from 1 species
GACGAACGCUGGCGGCGUGCCUAAUACAUGCAAGUAGAACGCACAGUUUAUACCGUAGCUUGCUACACCAUAAACUGUGAGUUGCGAACGGGUGAGUAACGCGUAGGUAACCUGCCUGGUAGCGGGGGAUAACUCUUGGAAACGAUAGCUAAUACCGCAUAAUAUUAAUUAUUGCAUGAUAAUUGAUUGAAAGAUGCAAUUGCAUCACUACCAGAUGGACCUGCGUUGUAUUAGCUAGUAGGUGAGGUAACGGCGCACCUAGGCGAAGAUACAUAGCCGACCUGAGAGGGUGAUCGGCCACACUGGGACUGAGACACGGCCCAGACUCCUACAGGAGGCAGCAGUAGGGAAUCUUCGGCAAUGGACGAAAGUCUGACCGAGCAACGCCGCGUGAGUGAAGAAGGGUUUCGGAUCGUAAAGCUCUGUUGUAAGAGAAGAACGGGUGUGAGAGUGGAAAGUUCACACUGUGACGGUAUCUUACCAGAAAGGGACGGCUAACUACGUG